rnacentral:rRNA from 1 species
UUAUGAGUUAGUGGCGGACGGGUGAGUAACGCGUGGAAAACCUGCCGUAUACCGGGGGAUAACACUUAGAAAUAGGUGCUAAUACCGCAUAAGCGCACAGCUUCGCAUGAAGCAGUGUGAAAAACUCCGGUGGUAUAUGAUGGUUCCGCGUCUGAUUAGCUAGUUGGCGGGGUAACGGCCCACCAAGGCAGCGAUCAGUAGCCGGCCUGAGAGGGUGAACGGCCACAUUGGGACUGAGACACGGCCCAAACUCCUACGGGAGGCAGCAGUGGGGAAUAUUGCACAAUGGGGGAAACCCUGAUGCAGCAACGCCGCGUGGGUGAAGGAGCGUUUCGGCGCGUAAAGCCCUGUCAGCGGGGAAGAAGAAAGACGGUACCCGACCAAGAAGCCCCGGCUAACUACGUGCCAGCAGCCGCGGUAAUACGUAGGGGGCGAGCGUUAUCCGGAAUUACUGGGUGUAAAGGGAGCGUAGACGGCGAGGUAAGCCUGAAGUGGAAGCCCGCGGCCCAACCGCAGAACUGCUUUGGGAACUGUUUUGCUGGAGUAUGGGAGGGGUAAGCGGAAUCCCUGGUGUAGCGGUGAAAUGCGUAGAUAUCAGGAGGAACACCGGUGGCGAAGGCGGCUUACUGGACCAUAACUGACGUUGAGGCUCGAAAGCGUGGGGAGCGAACAGGAUUAGAUACCCUGGUAGUCCACGCCGUANACGAUGAUUACCAGGUGUCGGGUGUCNAAGGACGGCCGGUGCCGCAGCGAACGCAGUAAGUAAUCCACCUGGGGAGUACGUUCGCAAGAAUGAAACUCAAA